rnacentral:rRNA from 1 species
GCCUACGGGAGGCAGCAGUGGGGAAUAUUGCACAAUGGGGGAAACCCUGAUGCAGCAACGCCGCGUGAGUGAAGAAGUCAUUCGUGAUGUAAAGCUCUAUCAGCAGGGAAGAAAAUGACGGUACCUGAGUAAGAAGCCCCGGCUAACUACGUGCCAGCAGCCGCGGUAAUACGUAGGGGGCAAGCGUUAUCCGGAUUUACUGGGUGUAAAGGGAGCGUAGACGGCCAGACAAGUCUGGAGUGAAAUGCCGGGGCUCAACCCCGGAACUGCUUUGGAAACUGUGCAGCUAGAGUGCGGGAGAGGUA